ACUCCUACGGGAGGCAGCAGUGGGGAAUUUUGGACAAUGGGCGAAAGCCUGAUCCAGCAAUGCCGCGUGAGUGAAGAAGGCCUUCGGGUUGUAAAGCUCUUUUGUCAGGGAAGAAACGGUGAGAGCUAAUAUCUUUUGCUAAUGACGGUACCUGAAGAAUAAGCACCGGCUAACUACGUGCCAGCAGCCGCGGUAAUACGUAGGGUGCAAGCGUUAAUCGGAAUUACUGGGCGUAAAGCGUGCGCAGGCGGUUUUGUAAGUCUGAUGUGAAAUCCCCGGGCUCAACCUGGGAAUUGCAUUGGAGACUGCAAGGCUAGAAUCUGGCAGAGGGGGGUAGAAUUCCACGUGUAGCAGUGAAAUGCGUAGAUAUGUGGAGGAACACCGAUGGCGAAGGCAGCCCCCUGGGUCAAGAUUGACGCUCAUGCACGAAAGCGUGGGGAGCAAACAGGAUUAGAAACCCUUGUAGUCCCAUGAU
rnacentral:rRNA from 1 species